GACUGAUGUUGCCCAGUUUUGUAGAACCUGCUCUCAGUGCCAAUUAACCUCCAAUAAGUUCCCUUCAAGAGCACCACUGCAGCCUCUUCCCUUAAUUGACACGCCUUUUGAGCGCUUGGGUAUGGACAUUGUGGGUCCACUUGAAAGAAGCAAAUCUGGAUACUGAUAUAUGUUGGUGAUAACAGAUUAUGCAACCAAGUACCCAGAAGUGUUCCCUUUAAAGACAAUUAAAGCAAGAGCCGUGGCUGUCUCCUUGGUGCAACAUUUUUCAAGGGUUGGAUUUCCCUGUGAAAUUGUGACAGACCAAGGCACUAACUUCAUGUCUGCUCUCCUAAAGCAGGUAUAUCAGCUACUGGGGAUUAAGGGUGUUCGAACUACCCCUUAUCAUCCACAGACGGAUGGGCUCACGGAGAGAUUCAACCAAACACUGAAGCAAAUGCUACAGAAGUACCACAGGCCUCCACCGGGUUCUCUCCCUUUGAACUUUUAUACGGUCAUGAGAUGAGAGAGAGACUACAAAAGAUGACGGCUCUAGCCCAGCAGCACAUGGCAGAAGCACAAAAGUACCAGAAGGCUUGGUACGACAAGUCAGCCCGGCAGAGGACCUUUGUCCCAGGCCAGAAGGUUCUGGUUAUGCUACCAUCU